rnacentral:rRNA from 1 species
AUUGAACGCUGGCGGCGUGCUUAACACAUGCAAGUCGAUCGGUAACGCGGGGCAACCUGGCGACGAGAGGCGGACGGGUGAGUAACGCUUGGGAAUCUGCCUAUUAGUAGGGGACAACCCGGGGAAACUCGGGCUAAUACCGCAUGCGCUCCACGGAGGAAAGCAGGGGAUCGCAAGACCUUGCGCUAGUAGAUGAGCCCAAGUCGGAUUAGCUAGUUGGUAGGGUAACGGCCUACCAAGGCGACGAUCCGUAGCAGGUCUGAGAGAACGACCAGCCACACUGGGACUGAGACACGGCCCAGACUCCUACGGGAGGCAGCAGUGGGGAAUAUUGGACAAUGGGGGGAACCCUGAUCCAGCCAUGCCGCGUGUGUGAAGAAGGCCUUAUGGUUGUAAAGCACUUUAAGCGAGGAGGAGGCUCUUUUGGUUAAUACCCAAGAUGAGUGGACGUUACUCGCAGAAUAAGCACCGGCUAACUCUGUGCCAGCCGCCGCCGUAA